rnacentral:rRNA from 1 species
GACGUAGGGCGCGAGCGUUGUCCGGAUUUAUUGGGCGUAAGGAGCUCGUAGGCGGCUUGUCGCGUCGUCCGUGAAAACUUGGGGCUCAACCCCAAGCUUGCGGUCGAUACGGGCAGGCUCGAGUUCGGUAGGGGAGACUGGAAUUCCCGGCGUAGCGGUGGAAUGCGUAGAGAUCGGGAAGAACACCAGUGGCGAAGGCGGCUUACUGGUCCGGUUCUGACGCUGAGGCGCGAAAGCGUGGGGAGCAAACAGG